rnacentral:rRNA from 1 species
GAUGAACGCUGGCGGCGUGCCUAAUACAUGCAAGUCGAGCGAACAGACGAGGAGCUUGCUCCUCUGACGUUAGCGGCGGACGGGGUAGUAACACGUGGAUAACCUACCUAUAAGACUGGGAUAACUUCGGGAAACCGGAGCUAAUACCGGAUAAUAUAUUGAACCGCAUGGUUCAAUAGUGAAAGACGGUUUUGCUGUCACUUAUAGAUGGAUCCGCGCCGCAUUAGCUAGUUGGUAAGGUAACGGCUUACCAAGGCAACGAUGCGUAGCCGACCUGAGAGGGUGAUCGGCCACACUGGAGCUGAGACACGGUCCAGACUCCUACGGGAGGCAGCAGUAGGGAAUCUUCCGCAAUGGGCGAAAGCCUGACGGAGCAACGCCGCGUGAGUGAUGAAGGUCUUCGGAUCGUAAAACUCUGUUAUUAGGGAAGAACAAAUGUGUAAGUAACUAUGCACGUCUUGACGGUACCUAAUCAGAAAGCCACGGCUAACUACGUG